rnacentral:rRNA from 1 species
GGGUUGUGAGGUUAAGCGACUAAGCGUACACGGUGGAUGCCCUGGCAGUCAGAGGCGAUGAAGGACGUGCUAAUCUGCGAUAAGCGUCGGUAAGGUGAUAUGAACCGUUAUAACCGGCGAUUUCCGAAUGGGGAAACCCAGUGUGUUUCGACACACUAUCAUUAACUGAAUCCAUAGGUUAAUGAGGCGAACCGGGGGAACUGAAACAUCUAAGUACCCCGAGGAAAAGAAAUCAACCGAGAUUCCCCCAGUAGCGGCGAGCGAACGGGGAGCAGCCCAGAGCCUGAAUCAGUGUGUGUGUUAGUGGAAGCGUCUGGAAAGGCGCGCGAUACAGGGUGACAGCCCCGUACACAAAAAUGCACAUGCUGUGAGCUCGAUGAGUAGGGCGGGACACGUGGUAUCCUGUCUGAAUAUGGGGGGACCAUCCUCCAAGGCUAAAUACUCCUGACUGACCGAUAGUGAACCAGUACCGUGAGGGAAAGGCGAAAAGAACCCCGGCGAGGGGAGUGAAAAAGAACCUGAAACCGUGUACGUACAAGCAGUGGGAGCACGCUUCGGCGUGUGACUGCGUACCUUUUGUAUAAUGGGUCAGCGACUUAUAUUCUGUAGCAAGGUUAACCGAAUAGGGGAGCCGAAGGGAAACCGAGUCUUAACUGGGCGUUAAGUUGCAGGGUAUAGACCCGAAACCCGGUGAUCUAGCCAUGGGCAGGUUGAAGGUUGGGUAACACUAACUGGAGGACCGAACCGACUAAUGUUGAAAAAUUAGCGGAUGACUUGUGGCUGGGGGUGAAAGGCCAAUCAAACCGGGAGAUAGCUGGUUCUCCCCGAAAGCUAUUUAGGUAGCGCCUCGUGAAUUCAUCUCCGGGGGUAGAGCACUGUUUCGGCAAGGGGGUCAUCCCGACUUACCAACCCGAUGCAAACUGCGAAUACCGGAGAAUGUUAUCACGGGAGACACACGGCGGGUGCUAACGUCCGUCGUGAAGAGGGAAACAACCCAGACCGCCAGCUAAGGUCCCAAAGUCAUGGUUAAGUGGGAAACGAUGUGGGAAGGCCCAGACAGCCAGGAUGUUGGCUUAGAAGCAGCCAUCAUUUAAAGAAAGCGUAAUAGCUCACUGGUCGAGUCGGCCUGCGCGGAAGAUGUAACGGGGCUAAACCAUGCACCGAAGCUGCGGCAGCGACGCUUAUGCGUUGUUGGGUAGGGGAGCGUUCUGUAAGCCUGUGAAGGUGUGCUGUGAGGCAUGCUGGAGGUAUCAGAAGUGCGAAUGCUGACAUAAGUAACGAUAAAGCGGGUGAAAAGCCCGCUCGCCGGAAGACCAAGGGUUCCUGUCCAACGUUAAUCGGGGCAGGGUGAGUCGACCCCUAAGGCGAGGCCGAAAGGCGUAGUCGAUGGGAAACAGGUUAAUAUUCCUGUACUUGGUGUUACUGCGAAGGGGGGACGGAGAAGGCUAUGUUGGCCGGGCGACGGUUGUCCCGGUUUAAGCGUGUAGGCUGGUUUUCCAGGCAAAUCCGGAAAAUCAAGGCUGAGGCGUGAUGACGAGGCACUACGGUGCUGAAGCAACAAAUGCCCUGCUUCCAGGAAAAGCCUCUAAGCAUCAGGUAACAUCAAAUCGUACCCCAAACCGACACAGGUGGUCAGGUAGAGAAUACCAAGGCGCUUGAGAGAACUCGGGUGAAGGAACUAGGCAAAAUGGUGCCGUAACUUCGGGAGAAGGCACGCUGAUAUGUAGGUGAAGCGACUUGCUCGUGGAGCUGAAAUCAGUCGAAGAUACCAGCUGGCUGCAACUGUUUAUUAAAAACACAGCACUGUGCAAACACGAAAGUGGACGUAUACGGUGUGACGCCUGCCCGGUGCCGGAAGGUUAAUUGAUGGGGUUAGCGGUAACGCGAAGCUCUUGAUCGAAGCCCCGGUAAACGGCGGCCGUAACUAUAACGGUCCUAAGGUAGCGAAAUUCCUUGUCGGGUAAGUUCCGACCUGCACGAAUGGCGUAAUGAUGGCCAGGCUGUCUCCACCCGAGACUCAGUGAAAUUGAACUCGCUGUGAAGAUGCAGUGUACCCGCGGCAAGACGGAAAGACCCCGUGAACCUUUACUAUAGCUUGACACUGAACAUUGAGCCUUGAUGUGUAGGAUAGGUGGGAGGCUUUGAAGUGUGGACGCCAGUCUGCAUGGAGCCGACCUUGAAAUACCACCCUUUAAUGUUUGAUGUUCUAACGUUGACCCGUAAUCCGGGUUGCGGACAGUGUCUGGUGGGUAGUUUGACUGGGGCGGUCUCCUCCUAAAGAGUAACGGAGGAGCACGAAGGUUGGCUAAUCCUGGUCGGACAUCAGGAGGUUAGUGCAAUGGCAUAAGCCAGCUUGACUGCGAGCGUGACGGCGCGAGCAGGUGCGAAAGCAGGUCAUAGUGAUCCGGUGGUUCUGAAUGGAAGGGCCAUCGCUCAACGGAUAAAAGGUACUCCGGGGAUAACAGGCUGAUACCGCCCAAGAGUUCAUAUCGACGGCGGUGUUUGGCACCUCGAUGUCGGCUCAUCACAUCCUGGGGCUGAAGUAGGUCCCAAGGGUAUGGCUGUUCGCCAUUUAAAGUGGUACGCGAGCUGGGUUUAGAACGUCGUGAGACAGUUCGGUCCCUAUCUGCCGUGGGCGCUGGAGAACUGAGGGGGGCUGCUCCUAGUACGAGAGGACCGGAGUGGACGCAUCACUGGUGUUCGGGUUGUCAUGCCAAUGGCACUGCCCGGUAGCUAAAUGCGGAAGAGAUAAGUGCUGAAAGCAUCUAAGCACGAAACUUGCCCCGAGAUGAGUUCUCCCUGAC